UACGUAGGGUGCAAGCGUUAAUCGGAAUUACUGGGCGUAAAGCGUGCGCAGGCGGUUUUGUAAGUCUGUCGUGAAAUCCCCGGGCUCAACCUGGGAAUUGCGAUGGAGACUGCAAGGCUAGAAUCUGGCAGAGGGGGUAGAAUUCCACGUGUGAGCAGUGAAAUGCGUAGAGAUGUGGAGGAACACCGAUGGCGAAGGCAGCCCCCUGGGUCAAGAUUGACGCUCAUGCACGAAAGCGUGGGGAGCAAACAGGAUUACGAAACC
rnacentral:rRNA from 1 species